UACGAAGGGGGCUAGCGUUGUUCGGAAUUACUGGGCGUAAAGGGUGCGUAGGCGGGUCUUUAAGUCAGGGGUGAAAUCCUGGAGCUCAACUCCAGAACUGCCUUUGAUACUGGAGAGCUUGAGUCCGGAAGAGGUGAGUGGAACUCCGAGUGUAGAGGUGAAAUUCGUAGAUAUCGGGAGGAACACCGGUGGCGAAGGCGGCGACCUGGGUCGAUACUGACGCUGAUGCGCGAAAGCGUGGGGAGCAAACAGG
rnacentral:rRNA from 1 species